rnacentral:rRNA from 1 species
AUGGCGGCCCCGAGGAUGAUGAGAGCCGUGCAGUAUGACAAGUAUAGCGGUGGAGCUGAAGACCUCAAGCAUGUGGAGGUGCCGGUGUCGUCGCCGGAGAAAGGCGAGGUGCUACUAAAGAUGGAGGCGGCCAGCAUCAACCCGAUUGACUAG